UGCUUUCCACACGUACUUUCAAGAAAAAGGUUUUCGACCGAUGAGCACGGCAGCCUAUUUUACAGUUUCCACGAUGUCCCACACUCAGUGGCUCGACCUACAAUCAAGUAUUGUUUAAAUUGAAUUCUGAUCAUAAAAAAAUUACUAAAAUGGCCAUGACCGGGAAGUCCAUCACACGUUGUGUUUUG